rnacentral:rRNA from 1 species
GAUGAACGCUGGCGGCGUGCCUAAUACAUGCAAGUCGAACGAAACUUCUUUAUCACCGAGUGCUUGCACUCACCGAUAAAGAGUUGAGUGGCGAACGGGUGAGUAACACGUGGGCAACCUGCCCAAAAGAGGGGGAUAACACUUGGAAACAGGUGCUAAUACCGCAUAACCAUAGUUACCGCAUGGUAACUAUGUAAAAGGUGGCUAUACUACCGCUUUUGGAUGGGCCCGCGGCGCAUUAGCUAGUUGGUAGGGUAAAGGCUUACCAAGGCAAUGAUGCGUAGCCGAAGUGAGAGGUUGAUCGGCCACAUUGGGACUGAGACACGGCCCAAACUCCUACGGGAGGCAGCAGUAGGGAAUCUUCCACAAUGGGCGAAAGCCUGAUGGAGCAACGCCGCGUGGGUGAAGAAGGUCUUCGGAUCGUAAAACCCUGUUGUUAGAGAAGAAAGUGCGUGAGAGUAACUGUUCACGUUUCGACGGUAUCUAACCAGAAAGCCACGGCUAACUACGUG